rnacentral:rRNA from 1 species
GAUGAACGCUGGCGGCGUGCUUAAUACAUGCAAGUCGAACGGAGACAGUAGCAAUAUUGUCUUAGUGGCGAACGGGUGAGUAACGCGUUGGUGACCUGCCCCGAAGAGGGGGAUAACAGUCCGAAAGGAUUGCUAAUACCCCAUGUGGUCAUAUGGAUUAGAUGCCUAAUGACUAAACGGAUUUAUUCGCUUCGGGAGGGGCCUGCGUCCCAUCAGCUAGUUGGUAAGGUAACGGCUUACCAAGGCGAUGACGGGUAGGGGACCUGAGAGGGUGGCCCCCCACAAUGGAACUGAAACACGGUCCAUACACCUACGGGUGGCAGCAGUAGGGAAUAUUGGUAAUCUGGGAAACCGGGAACCAGCAACGCCGCGUGCACGAUGAAGGCCUUCGGGUCGUAAAGUGCUUUUUGAAGGGAUGAGGAAGGACAGUACCUUCAGAAUAAGCCUCGGCUAACUACGUG